rnacentral:rRNA from 1 species
ACUUGACGUUGGUUUACCAGCGGAGGUGGCGGACGGGUGAGUAACAACGUAGGUAACCUGCCCCAAAGCGGGGGAUAACAUUUGGAAACAGAUGCCAAUACCGCAUAACAAUUUGAAUCGCAUGAUUCAAAUUUAAAAGAUGGCUUCGGCUAUCACUUUGGGAUGGACCUGCGGCGCAUUAGCUUGUUGGUAGGGUAACGGCCUACCAAGGCUGUGAUGCGUAGCCGAGUUGAGAGACUGAUCGGCCACAAUGGAACUGAGACACGGUCCAUACUCCUACGGGAGGCAGCAGUAGGGAAUCUUCCACAAUGGGCGCAAGCCUGAUGGAGCAACACCGCGUGAGUGAAGAAGGGUUUCGGCUCGUAAAGCUCUGUUGUUAGAGAAGAACGUGCGUGAGAGCAACUGUUCACGCAGUGACGGUAUCUAACCAGAAAGUCACGGCUAACUACGUGCCAGCAGCCGCGGUAAUACGUAGGUGGCAAGCGUUAUCCGGAUUUAUUGGGCGUAAAGCGAGCGCAGGCGGUUUGAUAAGUCUGAUGUGAAAGCCUUUGGCUUAACCAAAGAAGUGCAUCGGAAACUGUCAGACUUGAGUGCAGAAGAGGACAGUGGAACUCCAUGUGUAGCGGUGGAAUGCGUAGAUAUAUGGAAGAACACCAGUGGCGAAGGCGGCUGUCUGGUCUGCAACUGACGCUGAGGCUCGAAAGCAUGGGUAGCGAACAGGAUUAGAUACCCUGGUA